AGUUCGCUACCCACGCUUUGGCACCUCAGUGUCAGUACAGAUCCAGGAGGCCGCUUUCGCCACUGGUAUUCUUCAUAAUAUCUACGCAUUCCACCGCUACACUAUGAAUUCUACCUCCCUCUAUCGUACUCUAGUGAGUUAGUUUUGGAUGCAGUUCCUAGGUUGAGCCCAGGGCUUUCACAUCCAACUUAACAAACCACCUACGCGCGCUUUACGCCCAGUAAUUCCGAUUAACGCUUGCACCUUCCGUAUUACCGCGGCUGCUGGCACGGAAUUAGCCGGUGCUUAUUCUGCAGGUAACAUCAAGGUUAUAAGGUAUUAGCUUAUAACUUUUUCUCCCUGCUUAAAGUGCUUUACAACCCGAAGGCCUUCUUCACACACGCGGUAUGGCUGGAUCAGGCUUGCGCCCAUUGUCCAAUAUUCCCCACUGCUGCCUCCCGUAGGAGUCUGGGCCGUGUCUCAGUCCCAAUGUGGCUGAUCGUCCUCUCAGACCAGCUAAAGAUCGUUGCCUUGGUGAGCCUUUACCUCACCAACAAGCUAAUCUUACGCAGGCUCAUCUAGUAGCGAAAGCUUCAAAGAGAGGCCUUCUUUCUCCCGAAGGAGGUAUACGGUAUUAAUCCGGGUUUCCCCGGGCUAUCCCCUUCUACUAGGUAGAUUCGUACAGCGUUACUCACCCGUCCGCCGCUGUACUAGUAUCUGAAGAUACUUUCUCGCACGACUCGCAUGUGUUAAGACCAGCCGCCAGCGUUCAAUCUGAGCCAGGAUCAAACUAU
rnacentral:rRNA from 1 species